AACGAACGCUGGCGGCAUGCCUAAUACAUGCAAGUCGAACGAGAUCUUCGGAUCUAGUGGCGCACGGGUGCGUAACGCGUGGGAAUCUGCCCUUGGGUUCGGAAUAACUUCUGGAAACGGAAGCUAAUACCGGAUGAUGACGUAAGUCCAAAGAUUUAUCGCCCAAGGAUGAGCCCGCGUAGGAUUAGCUAGUUGGUGGGGUAAAGGCCCACCAAGGCGACGAUCCUUAGCUGGUCUGAGAGGAUGAUCAGCCACACUGGGACUGAGACACGGCCCAGACUCCUACGGGAGGCAGCAGUAGGGAAUAUUGGACAAUGGGGGAAACCCUGAUCCAGCAAUGCCGCGUGAGUGAUGAAGGCCUGAGGGUUGUAAAGCUCUUUUACCCGGGAUGAUAAUGACAGUACCGUGAGAAUAAGCGCCGGCUAACUCCGUG
rnacentral:rRNA from 1 species